AACACAUGCAAGUCGAGCGGGGUGACGUAGCUUGCUACAUUACCUAGCGGCGGACGGGUGAGUAAUGCUUAGGAAUCUGCCUAUUAGUGGGGGACAACAUUCCGAAAGGAAUGCUAAUACCGCAUACGCCCUACGGGGGAAAGCAGGGGAUCUUCGGACCUUGCGCUAAUAGAUGAGCCUAAGUCAGAUUAGCUAGUUGGUGGGGUAAAGGCCUACCAAGGCGACGAUCUGUAGCGGGUCUGAGAGGAUGAUCCGCCACACUGGGACUGAGACACGGCCCAGACUCCUACGGGAGGCAGCAGUGGGGAAUAUUGGACAAUGGGCGAAAGCCUGAUCCAGCCAUGCCGCGUGUGUGAAGAAGGCCUUUUGGUUGUAAAGCACUUUAAGCGAGGAGGAGGCUACUUAGAUUAAUACUCUAGGAUAGUGGACGUUACUCGCAGAAUAAGCACCGGCUAACUCUGUGCCAGCAGCCGCGGUAAUACAGAGGGUGCGAGCGUUAAUCGGAUUUACUGGGCGUAAAGCGUGCGUAGGCGGCUUUUUAAGUCGGAUGUGAAAUCCCUGAGCUUAACUUAGGAAUUGCAUUCGAUACUGGGAAGCUAGAGUAUGGGAGAGGAUGGUAGAAUUCCAGGUGUAGCGGUGAAAUGCGUAGAGAUCUGGAGGAAUACCGAUGGCGAAGGCAGCCAUCUGGCCUAAUACUGACGCUGAGGUACGAAAGCAUGGGGAGCAAACAGGAUUAGAUACCCUGGUAGUCCAUGCCGUAAACGAUGUCUACUAGCCGUUGGGGCCUUUGAGGCUUUAGUGGCGCAGCUAACGCGAUAAGUAGACCGCCUGGGGAGUACGGUCGCAAGACUAAAACUCAAAUGAAUUGACGGGGGCCCGCACAAGCGGUGGAGCAUGUGGUUUAAUUCGAUGCAACGCGAAGAACCUUACCUGGUCUUGACAUAGUAAGAACUUUCCAGAGAUGGAUUGGUGCCUUCGGGAACUUACAUACAGGUGCUGCAUGGCUGUCGUCAGCUCGUGUCGUGAGAUGUUGGGUUAAGUCCCGCAACGAGCGCAACCCUUUUCCUUAUUUGCCAGCGGGUUAAGCCGGGAACUUUAAGGAUACUGCCAGUGACAAACUGGAGGAAGGCGGGGACGACGUCAAGUCAUCAUGGCCCUUACGACCAGGGCUACACACGUGCUACAAUGGUCGGUACAAAGGGUUGCUACCUA
rnacentral:rRNA from 1 species